rnacentral:tRNA from 2 species
GCGGACGUGGCUCAGUGGUAGAGCAUCGCCUUGCCAAGGCGAGGGUCGCGGGUUCGAAUCCCGUCGUCCGCUCCA